GACAGAGGAUGCAAGCGUUAUCCGGAAUGAUUGGGCGUAAAGCGUCUGUAGGUGGCUUUUCAAGUCCGCCGUCAAAUCCCAGGGCUCAACCCUGGACAGGCGGUGGAAACUACCAAGCUGGAGUACGGUAGGGGCAGAGGGAAUUUCCGGUGGAGCGGUGAAAUGCGCAGAUAUCAGGAGGAACACCGAUGGCGAAGGCAGCUCGCUGGGACGGUACUGACGCUGAGGCGCGAAAGCGUGGGGAGCAAACAGG
rnacentral:rRNA from 1 species